CCCCUCUUAGGGUCGCCUCUGGAGAGUUUCCAGUACUCUACCAGUCAUGACUGCAGGAGGGAGAGUGAAGCAGAGGCACACCCAUUCCAUUCUUAGCUUGGGCAGCGGCUAGUGAGUGGAAGACAAUCAGCCACAAGG